CCUGGUGGCUCAGAGGGUAAAGAGUCUGCCUGCAAUGCAGGAGACCUGGGUUCGAUCCCUGGGUCAGGA
rfam:TPA: Bos taurus chromosome 14, whole genome shotgun sequence.